rnacentral:lncRNA from 1 species
UUGGGGGAAAUGCACAUGAAGUGUUUGUGAAAUUGCUUGAGGGGAAAUUUAGGUUUUUUUUUUUGUUUUAUUUGUUAUUUUCCUAGUUCUGUAUGUGAGUUGCUAGCUUUGUUUGUGAACUAUAUGUGGGGAAAUUAUAAUGUUUUGUUAGAUUAUAGAGAGUAAUUGUGAUUAACUUGAAAUGAUUUUGGAGAUUUAUAGUCUUUAGGCGCGUGGUUUGUGGGAGAUCAGCAAAUGUGAAAGUAGAGCUUUGAUAACUCCUUAGGUGCGUGUCCAACUUAUUAAUUUUGGGAAAUCUAGUGAUACUAAUAGAAGGUGGGUCGAGGAUGCUUUCGUAAUUCAAAUCAGCAUCAGCUACUAGUCAAACUCCAACU